rnacentral:rRNA from 1 species
GAUGAACGCUAGCGGCAGGCUUAAUACAUGCAAGUCGAGGGGCAGCAGGACUGUAGCAAUACAGUUGCUGGCGACCGGCAAACGGGUGCGGAACACGUACGCAACCUUCCUUUAAGUGAGGGAUAGCCCAGGGAAACUUGGAUUAAUACCUCGUAAUAUUCGAGAGUGGCAUCACUCUUUAAUUAUAGCUCCGGCGCUUAAAGAUGGGCGUGCGACUGAGUAGGUAGUUGGCGGGGUAACGGCCCACCAGGCCUGCGAUCAGUAACUGGUGUGAGAGCACGACCAGUGACACGGGCACUGAGACACGGGCCCGACUCCUACGGGAGGCAGCAGUAAGGAAUAUUGGUCAAUGGACGCAAGUCUGAACCAGCCAUGCCGCGUGGAGGAUGAAGGUCCUCUGGAUUGUAAACUUCUUUUAUCUUGGAAGAAACCCAUAUUUUCUAGUGUGGUUGACGGUACCAGAUGAAUAAGCACCGGCUAACUCCGUGCCAGCCGCCGCAGUAAGAC